CACUCAGCAACACCCUCCUCCUCCGUGAACCACCAACAAAAACAAAAAAAAACCAAAAUCAUCUUGCUCAUAAAAUCAAAACAUUAGAACAGAAAUCCCUGCAAACACAGUAACCCACUCACUCAUGCGGCCUAAAGCCUACACCAACCACCACUAGCGGCCAAGCCCACACCAAACACCACCAACCACAAGCACUGCGUCAAACACCCACACCCACACAACCCAAGCUGUAACCGUUUUCUGAAGCUUAAACGAUAACAUAAGGACAAAGGUAGUUCACCUUUUUUCUAAGAUUCAAGGCUAGAUCUAGGCUUUAUCAGUGUUGGUUUUCAAAAAAUAACGGUGGAUUUGAGAACUAGGGAAAAAAAGGAAUUCAAAACAUGUAGUUUUUUUAAAAAAGGAGGAGUUUCUUUUUCCGACGCGGCGGCGCCGCCACCCAUGGCCGGCCAGCCACUGCGCCGGUAAACAGCUUCCGGCGGUGUGUGGUUAGAGAGAGAAGAGAGCUUCUGAGCGUUUCUUUAGAGAGAGGAAG
rnacentral:lncRNA from 1 species